AGAACACAGGAUAAGCAUUGAUUUUAUGAUUCAGAAAACUUAGCAGCUGAACUGGCAUUGAGGACACUCUGGCAGUGUCCACUAGCCUGUUGUCUUGAGGAGUUAUCUGAAUCCUUCCACAUUAGCUGGGGCGGGGGUGGAGAGGUCAGCAGAGGAGAAACGAGACCUGAUGCUGCCCUGAAUCUCCAGCUGGUGUUUGGUAUCUGGAGAAUUUGCAUGGCUGGCUUAGAGGAAGUAGACUACUCAUCACGUCUCAGUGCAGCCCAGCCACGGUUCACGUGCUCGACCGCCACAGGUGGGGAGCGGCUACCAUACAGGAGGACAGAGACCCACAUCAACACACAGCCCGAAAAUUAAAGAUGAAGAUUCUGAGCCUCCUAGGAGGGUACACAGAUGACUUGAUGAGUGGUGCGUAGGUCUGUGCCUGGAAUCCGAACCCUCAAACCCUGGGCCACUGAAGCAGAGCAUGCUGACUUAACCACUACGCCACCAGCCAGCCCCAUCAGCAGCAUCUGGAUUUUACAAGGUAUGUAUGUCUAAUUUGGAGGCAAAAUCCGUGGUUUGCUAUUGACUGAAUUUCAUGUAGUCUCCUGACAAGGAGGAGCUGAAUUAUCUGAAGAGCUCUCCCAGACCCUCAACUGACAUUUAUUGGUUUAUUUAUUUAUUUGUCACUGAGUUCAUUCCGGGCAGAGACUGUGUCUUACUCCAAUUCUUAUCACAGACCUUAUCAAAGUUCCUGGCAAGUAGGAAAUAUUCAGUGUUUGCUGAAUAAAUGAAGCAAAAUAUUGAAUAAUGUUUAUUCAAUAUUCCUUCAAUACGUAUUGAAGGAAUAAAUGAAUCAAAGGGAGAGAGAUGGUGGACUGGAACCACACAAGAGUGGUUUCUUGUCCCUAAAGUUCUCUCAGCCACGCUCACACCACACACGUGUGCACACACCACCACCACACACAUGCGC
rnacentral:lncRNA from 1 species